UUUUUUUAUUUUUUAUUUUUAUUUUUGCAGCAUAUAAAGUAAACCAUUCUUUCUCAAAGUACAGCCUGCAGACCACUAGCAUGGGUAUUACCUGGGAGUAUGCUAGAAAUGCAGAGUUGUAAGCCCCACCCCAGACCUACUGAACCUGUCUUUAAGAUCUGCAAGUGAUGCACAUCAAAGUUUGAGAAGCAAUGAGAGUCUCCUUACAACUUACACUGCUGUGAACAUCUUCAUGCACAUGUAUUUCCCCUGCUUGGGGAUGGUUUCGUUGUAUUCCAUUCCCAGAAGUGAGAUUAUGAGUUCUGAGAAUUUGCAGAUUUGUAUGCUUGCCAGAAUUUCAGGAGGGUACUUCAAGAGCCAGAGGGGUGGGUGUGGCCAAAGGCUAUAUAACCUGAGGAUUGGUCCAGUUAGUGCCCCCUGUAGAGAGGGAAUUAUAAUUGAUCUAUUGGGGCCCUCUGCCUUUAAACGUCUUGUAAUUUGAAGAGCAAGCCUCAUCUGGAGGCACGGACAGAGAGGAAAAUAACUUUCUGUUCCGUCUCCCUGCCCUGUAGACUCACAGAGCUUCUCGCAGUGCCCAUCAGAUUGCAAAGCUGACAACUCCUAAAUAUUCCAGAUACAGGCCAGAAACCUCCUUAAAUUACAUGUCUAGGGAAUUCAUUCCUGACUUUCUCUGAGUCAUGAAGAAAAAGAAAUGCUUCUUUCGGGGGCCUUUAGAUUCACCUUCCAAGCCACAGUAAUUCUAGCUUUGUUCUGGCAAUUAUAACCCAAAGGAUCACUGUGCUGCUUCCUUGAUGGUUCCCUAAGUCUCCUUUCCUCCCUAGGAGCUGCAGAUAUUUUCUUUCACAGAUAAUCUCCGCCCUGUAGGGGUCUGUGAUUCCAGUGCUUAUGCCGUUCUCCUUGGGUUCCAACAUGUCCAGACUUUUCUCUGCUCCCCGCUGCUUUCACAGCUGACCUGCUCUUCUCCUCCAGCAUCUCCAGUUUUUCAGCUGGCUUCUCAGUUGCUGUUUUUUUUUUCGGUGGGGGACAAUGCCACAUUCUGAAGUUUAUGAUAUGCUUUCUUGAUAGUGAUGUUGUCCAGAUCCUCAGUUUGUUUCUUAGUGUUUCUUAAGCCUGCCUGUCAAAGCUGCUGCAUGUCAGGCCUGCUUAUCUGUGUGGAUGUCUGGAAGAGAGUCUGGCAACUUCAUCCCUUUGGUUUUACCUUCAUUCAGGGAUGAUUGCAAAUGGCAUCUGGUUGUCUUAAAAUUGGUGGAAUAUCAGUAUCCAUCCUGACAGACUUGACCAGAUUACCUACAUGCCUUUACAAUUUUUUCUGAACAGAUAUUCUCCAAUUAAGUUGCCCUCUCCUUUCCAUCAGUGACAGAGUUUAAUGCUAUCUCAUGUAGAAAUGGAAGUGUGCUUUCUCUCCCCUAUUAUUCCAUAUGGGAUUCAACCUGUAAGUCGCCCUUUAUGUUUAGGUAGACAAGUUUUGUAUUUGAGCAUGGUAC
rnacentral:lncRNA from 1 species